GACCCUCCAGGGUCACACCUGGAGAGUUUCCAAAACUCUACCAGUCUUGACUGUGGGCGGGAGAGUCACGCAGAGGCAUACCCAUUCCAUUCCUAACUUGGCCAGUGGCUAGAGAGUUGAAGGUAAUUUGCUACAAGU